rnacentral:lncRNA from 1 species
GAAUCACAAAAUGUAUAAGAAAGACUCUUCAUUAUGGAGUAUAACCUUAAUUAAGAUGGACUAAAUUUGGAUGCUACCAGAAUCAAGUUUCAUGUUUAAGGUCCUGGACUGGAACCUAGGACUACAAUUUCAACUCAUCCACAAUCAAGCAAACUCAAGAGAAGUUAGAAGUUCCAAUCUUUAUAUUUUUGGGCUAUGUUUAAGGAAGAUGACAGGCAAAUAUGCCUAUUAGUGCCUGUCCUGUGGUCAAGCCUAAUGGAUCUGUAACCUGGAGACAGCAAGAUCAAUCCAGUAUCUUGGAGAGAGAAAACAAAGUGAGAACAUAUCUACCUGUCUUCUCCUGUUUCCCCUAUCCUCUGACAUUCUUUGGGCUCAUCGUUGGUGUUUGAAAAGCUUCACUUAAUGGUGGGUAUGAAGGC